rnacentral:lncRNA from 1 species
CGGCCAGCCCUUUGGCAGGAACCAGAUUUACUUUUGAUUUACAGAAACUCGAUCUUUUGUACUCCAGGUUUUUUUAGGCUUUGCAAUGCGGUUUUGACAGUUAUUUCUCCAGUUGGUAGUGUGACAGGACGAUCUAGCUUCAGAACACCUUACUACUUGCCCUUCUUCCAGGGCGCAGUGAUAUUUUUCCCGUUUCCUUUCCUGCCCCAUUGAGCCUUUCCCUGGUGUCCUGGCAGCAUGGAUGUUUUCCCCUAUCAGUUUAACAUGUUCUUUUGGAGAGAGAAGACCCAGCAGCAAGCAACCCUACUCAUCACUUGGACUCUUAGCCAGGAACAUUCACGCUGCCUUCCACCUUUUUCUUAAGGUUCUUAAGCUCCCAGAAAAGAUUUGUGAAGAGUUUUUCUUGGGGGAGUAUUCAAUGUAGUGCUGAAAAGAGUGUGUGGCCUAUGAAGCACUCUCCAUAUAUCAUCAAUUACCAGUAAACCUACAAUUUACCCAAAGGU